UAUCCGUAGGUGAACCUGCGGAAGGAUCAUUGUCGAAACCUGCCCAGCAGAACGACCCGCGAACUUGUAUAAACAACUGGGGGCGGGGGGCGUUCUCGCCCCGUGCCCCCGAACGGCGGGGAGACACUCGUGCCUUCUUGCCGAACAACGAACCCCGGCGCGGUCUGCGCCAAGGAACUUCAACUAAAGAGUGCCUCCGGUCGCCUCGGAAACGGCGUGCGUGCCGGAGGCGAAUCUUGUGCAAAACCAUAACGACUCUCGGCAACGGAUAUCUCGGCUCUC
rnacentral:misc_RNA from 1 species